rnacentral:rRNA from 1 species
CAUGGUGAGUUGUUGGAAAGAUUUUUCGGUCAGGGAUGAGCUCGCGGCCUAUCAGCUUGUUGGUGAGGUAAUGGCUCACCAAGGCGUCGACGGGUAGCCGGCCUGAGAGGGUGACCGGCCACACUGGGACUGAGACACGGCCCAGACUCCUACGGGAGGCAGCAGUGGGGAAUAUUGCACAAUGGGCGCAAGCCUGAUGCAGCAACGCCGCGUGAGGGACGACGGCCUUCGGGUUGUAAACCUCUUUUAGCAGGGAAGAAGCGAAAGUGACGGUACCUGCAGAAAAAGCGCCGGCUAACUACGUGCCAGCAGCCGCGGUAAUACGUAGGGCGCAAGCGUUAUCCGGAAUUAUUGGGCGUAAAGAGCUCGUAGGCGGUUUGUCGCGUCUGCUGUGAAAUCCCGAGGCUCAACCUCGGGUCUGCAGUGGGUACGGGCAGACUAGAGUGCGGUAGGGGAGAUUGGAAUUCCUGGUGUAGCGGUGGAAUGCGCAGAUAUCAGGAGGAACACCGAUGGCGAAGGCAGAUCUCUGGGCCGUAACUGACGC